CAGUAACACGUGGAUAACCUACCCUUGGGACUGGAAUAACCCCGGGAAACUGGGGAUAAUACCGGAUAGAUCAGGGAUGCUGGAAUGCACCUUGAUCCAAAGCUCCGGCGCCCAAGGAUGGGUCUGCGGCCUAUCAGGUAGUAGUGGGUGUAACGUACCUACUAGCCAACGACGGGUACGGGUUGUGAGAGCAAGAGCCCGGAGAUGGAUUCUGAGACACGAAUCCAGGCCCUACGGGGUGCGGCAGGCGCGAAACCUUUACAAUGUGCGGAAGCAUGAUAAGGGAACUCCGAGUGCCAGUAUCUAAUACUGGCUGUCCUUGUGCCUAUAACGCACAAGAUAGCAAGGGCCGGGUAAGACCGGUGCCAGCCGCCGCGGUAACACCGGCGGCCCGAGUGGUAGCCGCUAUUAUUGGGUCUAAAGGGUCCGUAGCCGGUUCGAUAAGUCCUCUGGGAAAUCUGGUUGCUUAACAAUCAGACUGCCAAGGGAUACUGUCGAACUUGAGACCGGGAGAGGUAAGAGGUACUUCAGGGGUAGGAGUGAAAUCUUGUAAUCCCUGGGGACCAUCUGUGGCGAAGGCGUCUUACCAGAACGGUCUGACGGUGAGGGACGAAAGCUGGGGGCGCAAACCGGAUUAGAUACCCGGGUAGUCCCAGCCGUAAACGAUGCUCGCUAUGUGU
rnacentral:rRNA from 1 species